ensembl:lncRNA
AGGUGUAGAAUUCUCUGAAUCGCUCCAGUACCAUGCCUGCCUGUACGUUACCAUGCUUCCCACCAUGACAAUAAAGGACUGAACCUCUGAACCUGUAAGCCAACAGCAAUUAAAUGUUUUUUUUGAGAAGAGUUGCCUUGGUUAUCAUGUUUCUUCACAGCGAUGGAAACCCUAACCAAGAUAGUUUUCCCUGAAAAAUAGUAUUUACAAGGCACAGAAAAGUCACAGGGAACACAGAGAUACACCAGUGCCCUGAAUACGCCACUGCCCGAAGUGUCUCAGGAACUGAAAGGCCCCAGUAGCCACGGACUCUAAUCUGAAGAGCACAUGAUGCCCGCUUCUCAAGGAUUCUAGACCAGGCCAACUCCAUGAUUUCCUGCAAAGCUCCAGUCCGAUUGCCGAUUGCCGAUUACCGAUUGCGGGUAAGAACGACUGCAGGGCAUUUUCUUCAUUGACAAUUGCUGUACAAAGGCCCAGCCCCCUGUGAGCAAUGGCGCCCCUGGAAAUUGGGUCCUGAGGUGUGUAAGAAAGCAGGCUGACCAAGCCAGUGAAGAGCUUUCCUCUACGGUAUCAAAGGGCACCAGAGUCUUGGCUCACAAACUGAUUUAGGUUCUACAGAAACCAACUUUGUUUGAAACAAGAAGAAAAGGAAUGUUUUUGGAAGAGUAGAGAGUUUGCUCACUAAUGCAAAUCUGAAUUGGAAAGAAGCAGGACAAAGGAACGGAGGAUGCAGGGAACCCAGCCACAGUCAAACCGCAGGGCAUCUAGCAUCAGGAGCCCUGCGCUCUGCAACACCAAGGUGUCCCUACCACAGCAGCAGACUCUGGUCACUUUCCUGCAGGAUUUGAGUCUCAAAGGUGACUCACAUGGUUGUAACUCUGGGCGGUGGAAGGGUGGUAAGUGUUUCAGCAGUUCUGGAAGCUUCUUUUGGAGGAACUGGAGUAUCAUGUCAGUGAAACAGCAAAUGCAGAAGGGAGGACAGUAAUGGGCUGGAGAGAGAGGAAGGAAGUGAGUUCAGUAGCAGAUACAGG